rnacentral:rRNA from 1 species
UAACGCAAUAAGUAGACCGCCUGGGGAGUACGGCCGCAAGGUUAAAACUCAAAUGAAUUGACGGGGGCCCGCACAAGCGGUGGAGCAUGUGGUUUAAUUCGAUGCAACGCGAAGAACCUUACCUGGUCUUGACAUACACAGAAUCUUGUAGAGAUACGAGAGUGCCUUCGGGAAUUGUGAUACAGGUGCUGCAUGGCUGUCGUCAGCUCGUGUCGUGAGAUGUUGGGUUAAGUCCCGCAACGAGCGCAACCCUUGUCCUUAGUUACCAGCACUUCGGGUGGGAACUCUAAGGAUACUGCCAGUGACAAACUGGAGGAAGGCGGGGACGACGUCAAGUCAUCAUGGCCCUUACGACCAGGGCUACACACGUGCUACAAUGGUAGGUACAGAGGGCAGCUACACAGCGAUGUGAUGCGAAUCUCAAAAAGCCUAUCGUAGUCCAGAUUGGAGUCUGCAACUCGACUCCAUGAAGUAGGAAUCGCUAGUAAUCGCGGAUCAGAAUGCCGCGGUGAAUACGUUCCCGGGCCUUGUACAUCUCC